rnacentral:tmRNA from 1 species
GGGGGUGACUGGUUUCGACAGGUUGCUGUAGGUGUGUGAGGUGCAGGCGGGGGUUUAUCGGUUGGCCCCCUCAUCAAGCCGAUAAAAACUAAAAAGCCAAUGAGUCUAACGACUACAUGCUCCCCUGCGCUGCGUAAGCAGUAACGGGCGAGUCCCCGGGAUCGCCUGGUACCGGGCUCGUUAAACCACUGAAAGGGUGACUUCGGUCUACCGGACGGUGGUACAGGCUGGGUUGCCGCGACGUCCCCUGACGGCAGCCGAGACCAGGGGACACGUCCUCGAUCAGGGUUGUCCGAUCCCCUGCAGAGGUCACGCGAUUCGGACCAAGCCUGUAACGACCCUCCAUGUCACGCUUCUUGGACGCGGGUUCAACUCCCGCCACCUCCACCA